AAGACUAUACUUUCAGGGACCAUUUCUAUAGUUUGUUACUAGAGAAGUCUCUCUGAAUGUGUAGCACACCAAAAACCACGAGGAGGAGGUGGUGUAGCGUUUUCUCCUGAGUGUGAAGUUGGCUCUUGGUGGUGUACUGCUCCUACACUUCAUCAGCUAAGCUUAUAUGCUACAGUUCGAGCUUUUCAUAGCAGAUGUAAUUACAGAAAAUAUUUACCCACAAAUGAUUGCCUUCGUGUUCUUGACUUAGAUUAGGUUAGUUUAUGUCUCAUACUGAUGGGU
rnacentral:snoRNA from 1 species